rnacentral:tRNA from 1 species
AAGAAAUUAGUUAAAUAAUAACAUUAACUUGUCAAGUUAAAAUUACUAUAAAAUAGUAUUUCUUA